rnacentral:lncRNA from 1 species
GCGUGCUCCCUGGGCCUCCUGGGACUGGCGAUAGCCAAAGCUGGUCCCUGGGAAGCUUGGGUCUGGUGUCGGCCUCGGUGAGGGCUGUGAUGGUCGGGUCAGAGCCGUACAUGAGCUGGGCGGUCCUGGGAGAGGCUGUCGUGUGUCGUGGACGACGUCAGAUCAGACGCUUGGAGGGGAGCCUGUGGGAGCUUCCAGUUUCGGGCCCAGAGGACCCAGUGCGGUCACUGGCUCCCACGCACGCGCGGAGCUCAGCUCUGCGUCGCCCCCGUGCGGACAGAGGAAGCAGUGCCUGCCUGGCACCCGAGGACUCCUCUGGGCUGCAUGCGACCCAGGCACGCGUGGCCACCUAGGCGAUCUACUCUCCAGACACCGCCCCCUUCCGUUGAUGGACCGGAGGACGGUCUGAUGUUGUCAUGGCGACGGCUGACCAGUGAUUUCCUCUAGCUACUGUGAAUCUUACUCUGGACAGAGAGAGCACUGGAGUACGGUUACCCAGCCUCCUUGCUGUGUCCUCAGUCAGUAAUCUAAAUAGAUGAGAAUUGAUCCCUCCCUAAAGCAGCAAGGCCUUGAACAACAAAGCAACCUUUCCUAAAAGCCUGCUUACCUAGUGAAAUCAAAGAUCAGUGAUAAUAAAAGUAUUCUUAUUC